rnacentral:lncRNA from 1 species
GGGGGCGGGACCAGGGCCGUGGUCUUCCGGCGUGCCCAGCAUGUAGACCUGCUCAAUGCCAGGGUCUUAGCGCGGAUGAACAUCGCCUAGUCUACGGAGGCUCUUUGCUUUCCGCACCGCGCUACGACGAGUUAGCCAGUACCUCCUUACAGUGGCUGCCUGGCUCUGCUAGACAAGCUGACUGUGCAUUGCUCAGUUGUCUGAUGACCCAUGGCCUUUGAUCAUAUGCCUAAGAACUGGAGUCUUGCACCUCUGGAUGAAGUCUUUUGAUUAUGAGAACAAAAAACAAGUAAUGAGUGAAUUGCCUCCAAAUAUUAGUUUCUACUUUUUAAAAAUUCUGAUGGGGUGGAGGGAGCAAGUGCCCCUGUGCACCUGUGGACAUCAGCCCCUGUGCACCUGUGGACAUCAGCCCCUGUGCACCUGUGGACAUCAGCCCCUGUGCACCUGUGCACAUCAGCCCCUGUGCACCUGUGGACAUCAGCCCUGUGCACCUGUGGAUAUCAGCCCCUGUGCACCUGUGGACAUCAGCCCCUAUGCACCUGUGGACAUCAGCCCCUGUGCACCUGUGGAUAUCAGCUCCUGUGCACCUGUGGAUAUCAGCUCCUGUGCACCUGUGGACAUCAGCCCUGUGCAUCUGUGGACAUCAGCCCUGUGCACCUGUGCACAUCAGCCCCUGUGUACCUGUGGACAUCAGCCCCUGUGCACCUGUGGACAUCAGCCCCUGUGUACCUGUGGACAUCAGCCCCUGUGCACCUGUGGACAUCAGCCCCUGUGCACCUGUGCACAUCAGCCCCUGUGCACCUGUGGAUAUCAGCCCCUGUGCACCUGUGGACAUCAGCCCCUAUGCACCUGUGCACAUCAGCCCCUGUGCACCUGUGGAUAUCAGCCCCUGUGCACCUGUAGACAUCAGCCCUGUGCACCUGUGGAUAUCAGCCCCUGUGCACUUGUGGACAUCAGCCCUGUGCACCUAUGGACAUCAGCCUCUGUGUACCUUAGACAUCAUCAGCCCCAGUGAACUUGUGGACAUCAGCCCCUGUGCACCUGUGGACAUCAGCCCCUGUGCACCUGUGGACAUCAGCCCCUGUGCACCUGUGCACAUCAGCCCCUGUGCACCUGUGGACAUCAGCCCUGUGCACCUGUGGAUAUCAGCCCCUGUGCACCUGUGGACAUCAGCCCCUAUGCACCUGUGCACAUCAGCCCCUGUGCACCUGUGGAUAUCAGCCCCUGUGCACCUGUAGACAUCAGCCCUGUGCACCUGUGGAUAUCAGGCCCUGUGCACUUGUGGAUAUCAGCCCUGUGCACCUAUGGACAUCAGCCCCUGUGUAGCUGUGGACAUCAGCCCCUGUGUACCUUAGACAUCAUCAGCCCCAGUGAACUUGUGGACAUCAGCCCCUGUGUACCUGUGGACAUCAGCCCCUGUGUAGCUGUGGACAUCAGCCCUGUGCACCUGUGGACAUCAGCCCCUGUGCACCUGUGGACAUCAGCCCCUGUGCACCUGUGCACAUCAGCCCCUGUGCACCUGUGGACAUCAGCCCCUGUGUACCUUAGACAUCAUCAGCCCCAGUGGACCUGUGGACAUCAGCCCCUGUGUACCUGUGGACAUCAGAUAACCACUGGCAGCAGCCAGUUCUCCCCUUCUGCUAUGUGGUUCCCAAGGACAGAACUCAAGUCAUCAAGCUUGGUGGGAAAAUGCCUUUACCAGUGAGCCAUCUACCAACCCAUAAAUGUUGGUUUUGGCGGAUUUUUUUCCUAGAUAAGUUUCCUCACAGCUUUUGCCUGGUUAGAGGGCUAUAAAUAGAAGCAGGAGUGGAUUCUAGGUAAGGAUAUAUUUUCCCAACUCCGAGCUGAGAUUCUUAUUUUAUUAUUUAUUGAUUGAUUGAUUGAUUUUGUUUUUUGAGACAGGGUAUCUCUGUGCAGCCCUGGAUGUCCUGGAACUCACUUUGUAGACCAGUUCAUUUCGAACUCAGAAAUCCGCCUGCCUCUGCCUCCCAAGUGCUGGGAUUAGAGGCAUGUGCCACCACUGCCUGGCUUAUUUUUUAUUUUAGAGUUUCUUUCUUUCUUUCUUUUUUUCUUGGAUAUUUUCUUUAUUUACAUUUCAAGUGUUUCCCCUUUGGAAACCCCUUACCCUAUUCCCCCCUCCCCAUGUCACUAUGAGGGUGCUUCCCCCCCACUCCUAUCCUCCCACCCUGGCAUUCCCCUACACUGGGGCAUUGAACACCCUCAUGCCCAAGGCCUCUCCUCCCACUGAUGUCCAACAAGGCCAUUUUCUGCCACAUAUGUGACCAGCGCCAUGGGUCAGUCACUCGGGUAUUCUUUGAUUGGUGGUCCAAUCCCUGGGAGCUCCCGGGGGUCUGACCUGUUGACACUGUUGCUCCCUCCAUGGGGCUGCAAACUCCCUCAACUCCUUCAGUCCCUUCUCCAAUUCCUCCAUCGGGGACCCCCAAGCUCAGUCCAAUGGUUGACUUCGAGCUUCCUCCUCUGUAUUUGUCAGGCUCUGGCAGAGCCUCUCAGGAGACAGCCAUAUCAGGCUUCCAUUAGCAAGCACUUCCCAGCAUCCACAAUAACAUCUGGGUUUGGUGGCUGUAUAUGGGAUGGAUGCCCAGGGGGAGCAGUCUCUGAAUGGCCUUUCCUUCAGUCUCUGCUCCCCACUUUGUCUCCAGAUUUCCUCCUGUGAGUAUUUUGUUCACCUUUCUAAAAAGCACCGAAGCAUCUACGUUUUGGUCUUCCUUCUUCUUAGGCUUCAUGUGGUCUGUGAAUUUAAUCUUGGGUAUUCUGAACUUUUGGGCUAAUAUCCACUUAUCAGUGAGUACAUACCAUGUUUGUUCCUUUGUGACUGAGUCACCUCACUCAGGAAGAUAUUCUCAAGUUUUUGCCUGAGAAUUUC